UACGUAGGGCGCAAGCGUUGUCCGGAAUUAUUGGGCGUAAAGAGCUCGUAGGCGGUCUGUCGCGUCCGUUGUGAAAACUCGAGGCUCAACCUCGGGGCUUGCAGUGGAUACGGGCAGACUAGAGUGCGGUAGGGGAGACUGGAAUUCCUGGUGUAGCGGUGGAAUGCGCAGAUAUCAGGAGGAACACCGAUGGCGAAGGCAGG
rnacentral:rRNA from 1 species